GAAAAUUUCAAAACUCAGAAAUUCUAUCAACUCCCUUCUCAGUCUUUCGAUCCACUUAACUCAGAAUUGAAUUUUUGUCUGUUCUCAGAAUCGAAGGAGAAGAAUCAGUGCAAAUACUUGAAGAUACUUGAAGAUUCGAUUGAAAGGUACAAUCAAUGGGUUCUGGUAGACCGCCCAAGAAGGGGCGCCAUGAUGGGAAUCUGAGUGAGAAUGAGAAAUUGAUGGACCUCGAAGUAAAACCCAUAUAUUUUGAGUCGAAAUCUGCAGGUCCUGCAGAGCACAAGUAUAUAUGACAUACCAACAAGGCAGUUUUAUUGCGCUCAGAUAAUUUUUUUCAAUAUUGCAGUUUUGAGAACUCAUCUAAUAAUUAUUAGUAACUUGUUCAACGUUUCUUUCGACUUUAUAUUGUGUUUCGCAUUAGUUUUUUCUACCCUUCAAAGCACCGGGGACGAACCAGCAACACAAGCACAUACUCCAGCUUGGGUUCACAAGUUGUCUGAAGAAGAGAUGGCCCUAUUCAAGACAACUGCAAUAGGGCACUUAACAGACAUUCCACGAGAUCAAAGUUGGUCUAAAGCCAUAUUUUGUUUUCUGAUGAUUCGGCAGAUCAAAGUCGAACCUGGAAAAUAUUUGAAUAAUGAGAUCAUUUUUAGAGUUAAGGAUAAAGAAUUGUUCUUUGGAAAAGCGGAAUUUUCUCUAAUAUCUGGAAUUAGAUUCCGGGAUUUGAGGGAUGGACAUUUUGGUUUUGACUCUCCAUUAAAGACGUCAUGGCUAAAGCAUAAGUAUUUUUCAGCUGAUAACAGAAUCACCGGAGGGCACUUGUAUGACUUUCUUUUUUUCAAUACAGUCUUCAAGGACCGGGCAAAGGUUGUCGGAGCAAUUAAAAUCGUAUCGGAUAAAAUGUGGCGUCAUCUCUGGAAUUGUGAAGAGAGUGAAACGGUUCACUGCGAAUCUAAUGAUAGGGUGAAGGUGUAAUUAGUGUAUGUGGUACAAAUGUUCUUGUUGGGGCACCAAGACAUCCAUGGUAUAGAAGAAGAUCUUUGGGACUUGAACCUUUCAGAGUUCAACAAGUACCCAUGGGCCGGAAGGGUGCACGAGGCCACUCAACAAAAACGUGACAAUGCAUUUAAACCUUCUAUCAAUCCAAAAGGAAUGCCACAA